rnacentral:rRNA from 1 species
GACAGAGGCCUCAAGCGUUAGGCGGAAUCACUGGGCUUAAAGCGUGUGUAGGCGGGUCGUUAAGUACCUUGUGAAAUCCCACGGCUCAACCGUGGAACGGCUGGGUAUACUGGCGAUCUUGGGCCAACUAGGGGCGACUGGAACAAGCGGUGGAGCGGUGAAAUGCGUAGAUAUCGCUUGGAACGCCGAAGGUGAAAACAGGUCGCUGGGGUUGUGCCGACGCUGAGACACGAAAGCCAGGGGAGCAAACGGG